AAUCACAACUUGGCUCUACACAACUCCAGAGGGCGUCAUUCACACAGAUCAAGGUAUGACUGGCGCCCCCAGAGUUGUGUAGUUCACUGCCUGCA
rnacentral:miRNA from 1 species